UUUUAUUAUGUCUUACGAAAUACAACCUUAUUGCACAAUCCACAACAUUUCAUGCCUUGGAGUAGAAGGAGACCAUCUAAUUCUGGAAAUAAUUACACAAAAACAUAAAAAUAUUAUAACCUUCAAAGAAAAUCAUCAGGAAAUUCAUAUCAUCAGCCUUUCAUUCAUCCAACCUUGACUGGGGCUUUAUUUAAAUUUUGCUCAACAUCUGCUGCAGUCUCUAGCAACCUUGAAUCCUGCAUUAAAGACUUCUCAUGCAUUCACUUCAAAUUUGUUUCUGUGAAGCUUUCCCUUCAGUUGAUUUGCCUUAAUUGCUACUGUUAUCCAAAGCUUGUCGUAGACUCUGUCAACUAACUGAAAACAAGCAUACCUCCAUGAGUCUUUGAAGUACAAAACGCUACAAACUCCAACAAAUCCAGCCACAAAACCCAUUCCCAAACCACUAUAGAACCAAAGCACUUCGGAGUCAUCUUUCCUCGUAUUCCCAACUUUUUCAUGACCUUUAGGCAAUUCAUCUACAUCCUCUGAACAAUUAUUCAAUGGAAAUCCACAAAGUCCAUUGUUGCCAAUGUAGAUG
rnacentral:misc_RNA from 1 species